UUUUCAGCUGGUAGAGCAUGAGACUCUUAAUCUCAAGGUCAUGGGUUUGAGCCCAACAUUGGGCAAAA